rnacentral:rRNA from 1 species
AACGAACGCUGGCGGCAUGCCUAACACAUGCAAGUCGAACGAAGGCUUCGGCCUCAGUGGCGCACGGGUGCGUAACGCGUGGGAAUCUGCCCCUCGGUUCGGAAUAACAGUUAGAAAUGACUGCUAAUACCGGAUGAUGACUUCGGUCCAAAGAUUUAUCGCCGAGGGAUGAGCCCGCGUAAGAUUAGGUAGUUGGUGGGGUAAAGGCCUACCAAGCCGACGAUCUUUAGCUGGUCUGAGAGGAUGAUCAGCCACACUGGGACUGAGACACGGCCCAGACUCCUACGGGAGGCAGCAGUGGGGAACAUUGGACAAUGGGCGAAAGCCUGAUCCAGCAAUGCCGCGUGAGUGAUGAAGGCCUUAGGGUUGUAAAGCUCUUUUACCAGGGAUGAUAAUGACAGUACCUGGAGAAUAAGCUCCGGCUAACUCCGUGCCAGCCGCCGCGGUAA